rnacentral:misc_RNA from 1 species
GAUGAAGAACGCAGCGAAAUGCGAUAAGUAGUGUGAAUUGCAGAAUUCCGUGAAUCAUCGAAUCUUUGAACGCACAUUGCGCCUUCUGGUAUUCCGGAAGGCAUGCCUGUUCGAGAGUCAUUAACAACCGUUUCGAUCCCUUUCUUUCAGAAAUUACAAAGAGGAAAAGGGUUUGGUUAUGGUGGAGGAGGGAAAGGGAGCGUUUAGCCCGUAAAAAAAGAGGCUGUGUUCCGCCUCCCCCCCAAAAUUGUACAGGCGGUCGUGUGCGCCCACGCAUCGAGGUGUUGUAAAAGCUGCCACGGCACUUUUCACCUGUGCAGUGCGAGAUUGGCCAGCCGGUUUAAAAACCCCUCCAAACAAUCAAAGGUUGACCUCGGAUCAGGUAGGGAUACCCGCUGAACUUAAGCAUAUCAAUAAGCGGAGGA